UACGUAGGUGGCAAGCGUUGUCCGGAUUUACUGGGCGUAAAGAGCGCGCAGGCGGCUGGUCAAGUCCGAUGUGAAAUUUCCCGGCUCAACUGGGAAACUGCAUCGGAAACUGAUCGGCUUGAAGGUGGGAGAGGGUAGUGGAAUUCCCGGUGUAGUGGUGAAAUGCGUAGAUAUCGGGAGGAACACCAGUGGCGAAGGCGACUACCUGGCCCACUCUUGACGCUGAGGCGCGAAAGCUAGGGGAGCGAACGGG
rnacentral:rRNA from 1 species